rnacentral:rRNA from 1 species
UACGUAGGCAGCGAGCGUUGUUCGGGGUUACUGGGCGUGAAGAGUGCGUAGGCGGUUGGCUAAGUUUGGUGUGAAAUCUCCCGGCUCAACUGGGAGGGUGCGCCGAAAACUGGCUGGCUGGAGUGUGGGAGAGGCUAGCGGAAUUCCUGGUGUAGCGGUGAAAUGCGUAGAUAUCAGGAGGAACACCUGCGGUGUAGACGGCUGGCUGGACCACUACUGACGCUGAGGCACGAAAGCGUGGGGAGCAAACAGG